AUAGGAUACUCUAACCUCUUACAUGAUGAAAUAGGAUUAUUAUUUAACGAGAACUAUAAAUGGUUUUCAAAAUUUAUUUUUAUAAAUACUUAGCUAACAUAUUUGUUGUUUCCACAUUGGAUUUCGCUGAGUCACUAUUGCAUAAGAUCCUUAACUAGAUCCAUUUAGCCUUAAAGACCCAAAUCUUCACCCGUCUGACCCACUGCCUUGUGGAUGGUUCAACUGCAUUUUACUCGGCGGCAAAUUGCCGCUAACCACCGACUUUAAUGGUCAUGGACAACGCCACCAAAACCACUGGAUCACCAACGCCGCCAAAGUCAAGGAAAACUUGUUGCGUUAAGAAAAACCGCGAAAACGCAAAUACAAGAAACCCGUUUGCUCCAAAUGAAAGGGAAAACAAAUGGAGAUGUUGGCAAAGAGAAAAGCAAGGAGCCGGAGGAGGAGGAGGAGCCUGGCUGGACAACUCGACUGGAUGAGGCUAUUAUGUGAUCGCCAUCGCCAUUGCGGAAAGCUGCGGGAUGGACUUUGUUUUGAUGAUAAGUCCGCUGAUUCCGGUUUCUGGGGAUCGGGGAUCGGGGAUAGUGGCUUCGCGUUUGCGAUCAUGCCGUUUCAGUCGAUCAAAGUGGAGCUGCCAUCGAUUUUUGGCAUCCAAU
ensembl:ncRNA lncRNA:CR44899 long non-coding RNA:CR44899